rnacentral:rRNA from 15 species
AAUCAUUUGGGAAAAUGAACCAAAGAAAGUGAAAGUCUUGUAAACAAAAGAAAAUAUAUUGUGGGGGCAAGUAGCAGUGAGCACGAGAAAUUUGCUGUGAAGAUAGGGGGACCAUCCCCUAAGGCUAAAUACUAACAUGUGACCGAUAGCGAACAAGUACCGUGAGGGAAAGAUGAAAAGAACUUUGGAAAGAGAGUUAAACAGUACGUGAAAUU